GCAGUCCACGACUGCUUGUUCUUCUUCUUUCUACUUCUCCUUCUCUGUUCUUCUUUUCUUCUUCGUUCUUUCUUCUUCUACCCGAGCAGUAGAGAGAGAAUGAGAGAGAGAUCGAGAGUUUGAGAGAGUGAUGCUAUCGGAGAGGGAGUACGAACCAGAGAAACCCAGAGACCCGUAGCAGACCCGAGCCGAGACCUGUGAGCCCGUGAAGCCGGUAGAACCCAAUCGGCGUGCUGGGUCGUCGGAGGUCCGAUUUUCUAGCGAUUUCCGGUGGUUCCAGUGGAUUUCCGGCGAAGACCCAUUGAACCACGAAGACCCAUAGCCCAAGAACUCCUCGAACCCGUGACCCGUGACCCACUGAACCUGAGAGGAGACCCGGUUCUCCAUGGACUUUUUCUGGUGAGUUUUUCGGCGGUCCAGUGAGCUGAUCUCCGGUGAGCCAGCGACCCGUAGACCCAGUGCAACCGCCGAUCCGUGAGACCCGGAAGAGAGAACCCGAGCAACCCGACCCAUGACCCGUUGAACCGUGUGGAAGACCCGGUUCUUCAAAGUGAUUUCCGGCGGCUUUUCCGGCGGAAUCAGUGGUGUUUUUCGGUGGAUUUGCUAUGAAAAUCCUUGGGAUCAUGUUCGGAUUGGAAACUUUAAUUGGUUCUCCAAUGUAGAGUCCAAGUGACUAGAGUCCAAGGAGUGUUCGAGUUGGAGUCCAAUGCAGCCAAGAUGAUGUUUCUUUGGCUGCAGGUACUUCGGUAUAGUCGAUGGGUCGGUAGCAGUGUGCUUGGGAUAUUAUGACUGAAGCUCGCCGCGAUAGUUGUAAUUGUCGGACCACGGGUUGUCCACUAUUUUAUAGGUUUGGUAUGGCUUGUGACGUUUGUGUCACUUAUUCUUUGUUAAGCCAUUAUUGUUAUAGUGUUAAUAAGACUCAAACAGAUAGAUGUUAAAUGGCUCUUUGUUGUAAUUAACUUGUGAUAGAAGUAUAAGUUGUAAUUUCCGCUAUUCA